GAUGAACGCUAGCGAUAGGCUUAACACAUGCAAGUCGAGGGGCAGCACAAGGUAGCUUGCUAUCUGGGUGGCGACCGGCGCACGGGUGCGUAACGCGUAUGCAACUUGCCCUAUACAGGAGGAUAACCCGUCGAAAGACGGACUAAUACUGCGUAUGCUCACAACUUGGCAUCAAGUGGUGAGGAAAGAAAUUCGGUAUAGGAUAGGCAUGCGUCCCAUUAGCUUGUUGGUGAGGUAACGGCUCACCAAGGCAACGAUGGGUAGGGGAACUGAGAGGUUUACCCCCACACUGGGUACGAGACACCGACCAGGACUCCACGGGAGGCAGCAGGUGAGAAUUAUGAGCAAUGGGCGCGAGCCUUGACCAACCAAAGUGCCGUGAAGAUUGCUUGCCUUAUGGAUGUAAACCUUCUUUAAACGGGAAUAACAAGAGUCACGUGUGACUCCCUGCAUGUACCGUAUGAAUAAGCAUCGGCUAACUCCGUG
rnacentral:rRNA from 1 species